rnacentral:miRNA from 1 species
UUUUUUUGCGCGGCCAAUUGCCCCCUGAUGAUCCCAUAAUACAUUGCAUUUGCAAAUAAUACAAUGUAUUAUGGGAUCGCCAGGGGGCAAUUGGCCGCGCAAAACAAAAG